AACGAACGCUGGCGGCAGGCCUAACACAUGCAAGUCGAGCGAAGCCUUCGGGCUUAGCGGCGGACGGGUGAGUAACGCGUGGGAACGUGCCCUUUGGUACGGAAUAGCCCCGGGAAACUGGGAGUAAUACCGUAUGUGGUCGAGAGACGAAAGAUUUAUCGCCAAAGGAUCGGCCCGCGUUGGAUUAGGUAGUUGGUGGGGUAAUGGCCUACCAAGCCGACGCUCCAUAGUCGGUUUGAGGGGAUGAUCAGCCACACUGGGACUGCGACACGGCCCAGACUCCUACGGGAGGCAGCAGUGGGUAAUCUUAGACAAUGGGGGAAACCCUGAUCUAGCCAUGCCGCGUGAUCGAUGAAGGCCUUAGGGUUGUAAAGAUCUUUCAGUGGGGAAGAUAAUGACUGUACCCACAGAAGAGGCCCCGGCUAACUCCGUGCCAGCCGCCGCCGUAACAC
rnacentral:rRNA from 1 species